GUUUGCUAGGCCAGAGUGCUUGUAAGAGUGAAGAUUGCAAAGAUUGUUAGGCUCUUUGCUAAACACAACGCCUGCGGAACCAUUACCGAACUCCUUUACCAAAAAUGCAUUGUUCUUCUUCACAAUUUCCCACACUAAUUGCCCUGGAACUGUUGUCAUUGUUCAGUUUCUAGGGUUUUGCCUUUUGACGGUCUGAAGAAGAAAUGCAAAGAGACGAAG
rnacentral:misc_RNA from 1 species